UUCCUCUGUAUAUGGCUCCAGGGUCGAAGGAACUAUUCGCUCAGCAUCAGGGCCUGCUGCUGGCUGACAGCCGUCCACUUUCGUCCCUCUCUGGAACUCUGUCCUCUCUGAAGAUGGCAUCUUCACUCAAGGACUGCCUCCUUCUGGAGCACAGCCUCUUCCAAUGACAGGCCAGUGGAAGAUGAUACAGUGUGAUUUUGUAGCUCCUCCCAUCGGGGAAUUAAAUUGACUUUCUAAGCCCUGGAAUAAGGCUGGCCUUGGGGCUUGCUCGGACCACCAAAAGAGCAACAAGGAUGGUGUGCUGAUCCCAAGCCAAGGCCUCAAGAGUCCUUGAACACAAGAGGCCCUGAGGACUUCUGCCUGCCUUCUUAGAACCCUGCUGUAGUCCACUGUCAUGAGAAAAGCCCGAGUCAGCCUACCAGACCCUCAGACACCACGUACCGAGAGCGCACCGUUCAUGGACUGGUCACCGUCCGGCGAUGUCAUCUGAAAUCAUGGACAGAUGGCAACUAUAAAACCGCAAAUAUCCGAGCCAGAGUUUCCUUAUGUUGGAGCUUCACACCCAAAGAGAUAAACUUGGGACUAUGUCUAAUCACCUGGAUUCUUCACUCGCCUGACAAGGUGGACGAAAGGAAAGAAACACCAGGAAGAGGCAGAGAGAGAUGGCAGGUCCACCUUCAACAAAUUUCAUAUGGUUUAACCAGUUCCGGUUGCCUGUGACUUGUACUGGGAGUUUCCUGAAAGAGGCACCAAUGCAGAUCGGACGCUAGAAACUUUCCUGCAUGAUCUCCAGCUGCUGAGAGCAGGAACACGUAAGGAAACCAUGAUCAUUCCGUCUUCACAGGAUGGCAGCUGUGCAGGAAAAACAAGCCACCUCUGCAGCUGAUGACUAACCCCCCUCUCUUUGCUGGUGACGAUGAUGGAGAACCCUGUCCUCACGCCCAGCUCUCGCCAUGACCUCACGCGCUCCUCGCGGACAUUUCCACUCGCCCCCCUGGGGCCGUGCUCCGGGCGUGGAGCUCUGCUUUCUCUGGCCCCACGCACCCCUGGACGCCAUCUGUCUAAACACGGGAUCCCUCGGCCCACAGCCCCCGUUGCUCAUGAUCUGCCCCUUCCUGCGUCUGCGGCUUGGGGCUUGACACACACCAGGGAAACGGCUCAGGCUCUACCUGGGUUCUGAAAAGCAUUUACCAUGGAAAAUGCGAUGCUUCCUAACAAGCAGCCUUUUCAUCUUCUUGGAGGAGGCUUGCCUUUCAUCCUUUUCUGCUCUCGGAGCACUAGGCGAAGACACAGAGAAAGAAACAUGAUGUGGAAGCAGGAAUUCAAUAAUAGGGAGGGAGGGAGGUGUAAGUCUGCCUUUAGCUUUUAAAAAGUGCUUAUGGAAAGUACCGGCACUAGGAGAUGGUGGGCAGGGGUGCAGUUCCGUCCUUCUCUGUCCCCUUGAAGGUUGUCAUAGCCCAGAGCCAGAGAGUCACCACCAGUGGGCUAUCUGGGGACAUAUUUUUAACACUGUAAACUUGUCUUCACACCUAACAGCAAAAAUUUUCAGAAACACUGAUUCAUUCCCAUUUAGGUAGAUUUAGGCUUAGACACAGAGCAGUGGUCUCCAGCCAUCUCAACAGAUGAACUGAAAAGCAGGCAGUGAAAGCCCGGAGCCCCUGCCCUUCCUGUCCACCCCACCUCCAUGCUAACAGGACACGAAACCUGGACAUGCGUCCGGAAGGUUAGGAGUGUGGGUGAGGGAUGCCGACUGGAGGAGAGAGAAUGGAGUGCCUUCCAGGCAAACUCCCUUCUCAGAAAUUUGGCUGACUCCUUCGCCCUUUUUUAUUGAUUUAUUUUUUUCAUGUACAUUUAUUGCAUCCCCUACUAAGGGCAAGUACAGGGCAAAGCACUGAUUACUAAAAUAACAGUCUUAAAAGUAGGUGUAGACAUGCUUGUUUCUUGAGUCCCUAAUAGAUAUAGCAAGUAAAUACAUAUGUGUCACUUAUUCAACCGUGUGAUAAAGGUUUUAUCAGUCUCACCUUUUUAUUACCCCAGUGAUAAAACAGAGAAUUGGGGAGGUCACAGAGCCCAACCUGUGUCUCUAGCUUAAAAGGUGGCCCAGAGGGAUUUGAAUCCAGCCCCAUCCUUCUACCACAUUGCCUUAAGCCUUGCAACUAAGUGAAAGAAACAAACAUAAAAACAAAGUCACCUCCAAAGUGAUUAAUGCCACCGAGCAGGUGUAGGUGAUGCUGCAGGCAGGGGCCCAUGGUGGAGAGAGACAUUCUGUUUAAGGACUUCUAACCCUCACCUGGUCCUUAGGGCGAGUGAAAUGUGGAUGAUCCCUAACACAGGAACCAGAAGUAUUGUCUUCUGACUUCUCACACCUGCCCAGGUUAAGGAUCCGUGACAUGGUUUCAGUUGGAGACAACAUCAGCCCAGAUAUCACUGUGACUGGAUGGCUCCUGUAAGGACGGGAAAGGAAUGCCCAUUCAGGAAGCUCAUCUGGACAGAAAAGCAACGGUUACUCAAACAGAAAUCCAGUCUGAAGAACCAUCAGUAUCACCUUUACCAAGGCCAUGGGAGAAGCAGAAUUUCCUUUUGAAACUUAAUAUACGUGAUCAACAUACACAUUAUGCUUUAAAGAACUGAAUUAUAGGAAUGAAUUUUCUUGGCAGCCUUCCUUUUUUAAAAAAUGCAUCAACAUAAUGAGAAAAGGGACUAACACAAAUAAAUAAAUGGGUUAAAAAUCAUUUUACUAUGGUAACAAUUAUCAUAAUAAAAUUCUUAACUCAGGAAGGGCUUCUGAUCACUUUGUUUUUUUUUCCAGUAUGUGAAGGAAAAUGAUAGUAGAGCAUGUGUGUCUCUGGGGACUAAGGUUGGACCUUAUGCUGAGCAGAGAACUGGAAGAAAAAAAAAAAAAAAAAAACCAGCAGUGUAUUUCCAUGAAACAGGAAGCACAAUAAACACAUACAUAUUGCAAAAUGAAA